AAAAGGAAGUGCAAAAUGCGUAGGGACAAAGAAUCGCCUCUACCCUGCUCAAGUGGUUAAGCGUGCAUCAGAAAGGAAUUUGUUGGCCGGGCGCGGUGGCUCACGCCUGUAAUCCCAGCACUUUCGGAGGCCGAGACACAUCACCUUCACUUUGGGAUGUGGAGUUUGCUAAGCAGUUAGCCACAGUAAAUGAACAACCCCUUCAGAAUGGAUUUGAAGAGCUGAUCCAGUGGACAAAAGAGGGGAAACUAUGGGAGUUCCCAAUUAACAAUGAAGCAGGUUUUGAUGAUGAUGGUUCAGAAUUUCAUGAACAUAUAUUUCUGGAGAAACACCUGGAGAGCUUUCCAAAACAAGGACCAAUUCGCCACUUCAUGGAGCUGGUGACUUGUGGCCUUUCCAAAAACCCAUAUCUUAGUGUUAAACAGAAGGUUGAGCACAUAGAGUGGUUUAGAAAUUAUUUUAAUGAAAAAAAGGAUAUUCUAAAAGAAAGUAACAUACAGUUCAAUU
rnacentral:sRNA from 1 species